rnacentral:rRNA from 1 species
AUUGAACGCUGGCGGCAGGCCUAACACAUGCAAGUCGAACGGUAACAGGAAGCAGCUUGCUGCUUUGCUGACGAGUGGCGGACGGGUGAGUAAUGUCUGGGAAACUGCCUGAUGGAGGGGGAUAACUACUGGAAACGGUAGCUAAUACCGCAUAACGUCGCAAGACCAAAGAGGGGGACCUUCGGGCCUCUUGCCCUCGGAUGUGCCCAGAUGGGAUUAGCUUGUUGGUGGGGUAACGGCUCACCAAGGCGACGAUCCCUAGCUGGUCUGAGAGGAUGACCAGCCACACUGGAACUGAGACACGGUCCAGACUCCUACGGGAGGCAGCAGUGGGGAAUAUUGCACAAUGGGCGCAAGCCUGAUGCAGCCAUGCCGCGUGUAUGAAGAAGGCCUUCGGGUUGUAAAGUACUUUCAGCGGGGAGGAAGGGAGUAAAGUUAAUACCUUUACUCAUUGACGUUACCCGCAGAAGAAGCACCGGCUAACUCCGUG